rnacentral:rRNA from 1 species
AACCUUUACAAUGCACGAAAGUGUGAUAAGGGAACCCCAAGUGCUCAUGUUUUACAUGGGCUUUUGCCAAGUGUAAAAAGCUUGGAGAAUAAGUGGUGGGUAAGACUGGUGCCAGCAGCCGCGGUAACACCAGCGCCACGAGUGGGAACCAUGUUUAUUUGGCCUAAAGCGUCCGUAGCUGGCUUAUUAAGUCCUUUGUGAAAGUGUCAAGCUCAACUUGAUAAAAUACAGAGGAAACUAGUAAACUAGAGACCGGGAGGAGUCAGGGGAAUUCUAUGGGGAGCGGUAAAAUACUAUAAUCCUUAGAGGACCACCUGUGGCGAAGGCGCCUGACUAGAACGGAUCUGACAGUGAGGGACGAAAGCUAGGGGAGCGAUCCGGAUUAGAUACCCGAGUAGUCCUAGCCGUAAACGCUGUGAGCAAGGCGUUGCAUAUUCUAUAGGGAUGUGCAGUGUCGAAACGAAGGUGUUAAGCUCACCGCCUGGGAAGUAUGGUCGCAAGACUGAAACUUAAAGGAAUUGGCGGGGGAGCAC